GUGGGGAAUUUUGGACAAUGGGCGAAAGCCUGAUCCAGCCAUGCCACGUGCAGGAUGAAGGCCUUCGGGUUGUAAACUGCUUUUGUACGGAACGAAAAGACUCUGGUUAAUACCUGGGGUCCAUGACGGUACCGUAAGAAUAAGCACCGGCUAACUACGUGCCAGCAGCCGCGGUAAUACGUAGGGUGCAAGCGUUAAUCGGAAUUACUGGGCGUAAAGCGUGCGCAGGCGGUUAUAUAAGACAGAUGUGAAAUCCCCGGGCUCAACCUGGGAACUGCAAUUGUGACUGUAUAGCUAGAGUACGGCAGAGGGGGAUGGAAUUCCGCGUGUAGCAGUGAAAUGCGUAGAUAUGCGGAGGAACACCGAUGGCGAAGGCAAUCCCCUGGGCCUGUACUGACGCUCAUGCACGAAAGCGUGGGGAGCAAACAGGAUUAGAAACCCCUGUAGUCC
rnacentral:rRNA from 1 species